GCGCCCGUAGCUCAGCUGGAUAGAGCAUCGGAUUUCUAAUCCGGUGGCCACAGGUUCGAAUCCUGUCGGGCGCGCCA
rnacentral:tRNA from 1 species